CAGCAGCCGCGGUAAUACGAAGGGGGCUAGCGUUGUUCGGAUUUACUGGGCGUAAAGCGCACGUAGGCGGACUUUUAAGUCAGGGGUGAAAUCCCGGGGCUCAACCCCGGAACUGCCUUUAAGACUGCCGAGCUAGCAGGUGAGAGAGGUAAGUGGAAUUCCGAGUGUAGAGGUGAAAUUCGUAGAUAUUCGGAAGAACACCAGUGGCGAAGGCGGCUUACUGGCUCAUACUGGACGCUGAGGUGCGAAAGCGUGGGGAGCAAACAGGAUUAGAUACCCCUGUAGUCCCUGUCUCUUAUAC
rnacentral:rRNA from 1 species